GUCAGAGAGAGGAAGGAAGAAAAAAUGGCAUACUCUGCCCGCGCCGCCGUCUCUGCCGUGAGAUCCACUCUUCGUCGGGCGACCCUCGCCGCCUCCUCGUCCCCUUAUCCCGCCGGGGCCAUCGAGGUCCUCCACAUGUCAGCGACGGCAGGUUUGGAGGCGCGGAUGUUGUGCAGAGCGAGGCGGCGGCGGCGGCAUGCCUGGGAUCCUGCAUCACCCGAGGUUAUUUUUGUAUUUUUGUGAUGAGUGAAACUGGUUCAACCAUAGGUUUUAUGCCUCCAGUUUUCAAUGGCGACGACUGCAGCUCCAGGGUACUGGUCCUUAGGGUAUGUGCACGAAGACUUCCCAGAUGUCAUCGACAAGAUCAAGCCGGCUCCGGUAGUGGAGCAACAAGAGUGGCGCGUCGACGGCUCGUUCUGGCUACAAUAGUGGUCUUCCGCUGGCCUCAGAAUCUCGAUGUAAUUUUUACUAUGUUUGAGAU